AAUCCCCCAGUAAACCCAUGGCCUAAAUUAAUCUGAGGUUUGUGUGACCUUGGAGCAACUAAAUCACCAUUCUAAAUCAUCCCUCACCUCCUACCUGUUUUCCCUCUUGUUUUAUCUUCUCUUGGGUUUAGUGGAGAAGAAAAGUGAGUUGGGUCACAUUUGAUUAAAAAGAAGGAAGAAACUAAAGAAAGGAAAGGAGAGUGGGUGGAAAGGAAGAAAGGAAAGAGAAAAGGAGCCCUUCUAUCCCUCUCCUCACCACAUGUCUCUCCAAGAGUCACAGAGCAAGAGUCAUUAGGAAUGAGAAAGAAGAAAUGCCACCAGGUGUAAGGGUACAUAUUCCAAUGAGACUGGCAAAACAGCACAGGGUUGGGACACAGAAUGGCAAGAACCACAGCAAUGAUCAUCCCCACCAUCAGGUGCAGACUCUUUGGUCGGAUCCUCACUACCUUAUCUCAAGAAAAUAGAAAUGAGUCAAGUUACCGUAGUCCACCGAGAUGCUUUGAGUGGAUGAAAAUCAAAGCCGGAAGAAAUGGCCAUGAGAUGGGAUGACGGGAAGACAGCCAGCUCAGUGACGCCAUAUCUGUUCUGUUGGCUUUUGAGUGGUUAUCACACCGUCAGCCCCGGUGUUUUCAAAACGCCUUGUUCAUCUGGAAGCCUCCCCUUUUUCCUGGAAGAGCAGCUGGCGCCGCCCUGGCUGGAGGGCCAGGCUGCUGGAGAGAGGAUUCCAGGAGCUGGCAGUGAGGAAGGGCAGCCAGCAUUCUGGUUGGAGCUUCUGUGCCACUCAUCUUUUCUCAUGGUUGGAGAUUCUGUGCUCUCAUCCUAGCUCAGCUUUACCUGCCUCACCUUAGAGAGAAGCUCCUGGAAAGCCCAUCUUGCAUCUUCAAACACCACAAGCUGAUGGGGAUGGAAAGUACUGGUGUAUCGCAGGAUACACCCAGACUACUAGGAAAACAGGCCCUGAAGAUAUAAAGUCGGUGAAGGCCCAGGGGCCACGCACAGCUCUCCCACACCUGCUUUCUGUUGGUCCAAGAGGGAGCCCAGGAGGGAAUAGGGCCACUGAAGUCAGCAGUGACUGAGCAGAAGGGGCGGGGAAAGGAACUUUCCCGUUCUGUGGGAUCCUCCUGUCAAAUGGACUUCUACACUAAACCAUGUCCUUCAGGCAUACAUUAAGCUUGAGGACACUAAGGAAGCAAAAUUCAACAGGUAUCAUUGCUUAAAAGAUAUCUGGUUCAUUUUUUUUUUUCAUAUUCACCGAGAAUCCAGGUGACCCACAUAAAAUAUUGAAGCUUCA
rnacentral:lncRNA from 12 species